CUGCCCUUCCAUCCCUUGGAUAGAUAGAGAAGGAGGGCAGAGCUUUUGGUUUUUUCAUGUUGUCAAAGAGUUGAACAAUGGUUUUUCGUGUUGUCAAAGAGUUGAACAAUGAAAAUAGAUGGCGAGUGCCUGAUCGAAUUGAUCAGGUCAUGUAGGAACAAGGUUCAAGUCUACCGGUCUGUUAGGAUGCCUCAGCUGCAUACAUCACUGCACUUCCACUUGACACCUAUCGUAAUGAUAAACGGCUCGUCUCGCCGUGACCUUC
rnacentral:rRNA from 1 species